AGGAGAACCAACCAGAGGGGGAACGGUGGAGGAUGAAGAAAUAAGACACAGGAGAGACAAAGAAAGAAAGACGGGAAGGACUGCAGCCAGCACUGCACUGUGGAAACAGCUUUACUUAUACAGUAUCUAAUUAAGUUUGGCCAACCCGGGCCUGAACCCGCCACCCUCGGUAUAUGGGGCCGGCGCCCUACCCAUGGAGUCACAGGCGCUACCCUAAUUAAGGAUAACUGGAACAGUUUUAGACCAAAGGGACCUUACAGAGUUGGUGGAGCCUUAAUGACCAGAGAAAGUAAAUGGGAAAUGUCAUAAACGUCAUGAAGCGAGUCAGCUUGUUGGGGGAGGCGGGAUGGAGCUUAUCUGCCGCACGGAUCCUCUAAUCCCGGCUCCCACGUGGACCUCACCUAACGCGUUUAUCCAGCUACUACAGACUGAGCAGCGGAGGGGAGUUGGUUGGGUGGGGGGCGGAUAAUGGACCAGCCCCUCCACAUCCUCUUUACUUUCCAGCGACCGAAAGCAAGCAAACCAAUAAAGCAAGGUAACUGCAGAAAGACAUCAGUUGUUAAGACGAGCAGACAGGACUGGGGAGAGGAAGGAUGUGCGGGGGAGGAGGCUCCUACGGCCAGCAGGACCCAGGGCACGUUUAUAAAGCAGAGAGUCAGGGCGAGUUUGCACCUGCUGCGCCUCUCCCAGGAA